UUGCCGAUGGGUCACAUACAGGAUGCAAAUAGCCAACUUAGGCUUCCUAUGCUGUGGUAGCUGCUCAUGAAAUUGUGGGAGCUUAUUUUGCCUGGAAUCAAUUCAGCACAAUUCAAGUUAAUGAAUAGCUUACAUUUACUAGGUCUUGGCUCAGGACUUCAAACGAAUGGACGUACUGAUAGUAAAUGUCUAAAUGUCUGUUUAGUGUCAGUCAUGCAACAGGGAAGAUUCUGAAAAAUAGGAGAUUCUUGACUUUGACAGGAAGUAAACU
rnacentral:lncRNA from 1 species